rnacentral:rRNA from 1 species
UACGGAGGGUGCAAGCGUUAUCCGGAUUCACUGGGUUUAAAGGGUGCGUAGGCGGUCAAGUAAGUCAGUGGUGAAAUCUCUGGGCUUAACUCAGAAACUGCCGUUGAUACUAUUUGUCUUGAAUAUCUUGGAGGUAAGCGGAAUAUGUCAUGUAGCGGUGAAAUGCUUAGAUAUGACAUAGAACACCGAUAGCGAAGGCAGCUUACUAGAGGAAGAUUGACGCUGAGGCACGAAAGCGUGGGGAGCAAACAGG